rnacentral:sRNA from 1 species
GCCAGUUGCAGCAGUGCACAGCUGUAAUCCCAGCAGCCAGGGAGGCUGAGGCAGGAGGAUCACAAGGCCUUAAGCAACUUAAUGAGACCCUGUCUCUA